rfam:Ixodes scapularis strain Wikel colony gcontig_1108378404888, whole genome shotgun sequence.
UGGUUAGCUCAGUUUGUAGAGCUAUCCACUGGAAAUAGAGUGUUCCCUGGUUCGAUACCAGGACCA